GCUCUCAUAGUUCAGUUGGUAGAGCAUCCGUUUAGUAAGCAGGCAGUCUGGAGUUUAACUCUCAAUGAGAGCA